ACAUAUUGUGCCUUAACCACUGGUGAAGCUAUUACUGUGGCAUGCUGGCCUGUUUCUUAGCCAUAGGUGGACAUCUAUAGUCACUCCUUUCCAAGUCUCAGGGAUCACUGGAGAGGAUGAGACAGAAAGAAUUUAAGAGAUGGAGGAAUGGGUGGAGUAUUGUGUAACAGUUUCCUAGGAGAUUGAAACAUUCCAAGCUGCAGGGAAGCUGCUUAAGCAGGAAGGCAAACAACUCAGUGUAGCUUCAGGAACUCCCUGAAACUUACAAGACUCACUCACUACACUGCCCCUGCCCUUGCUGGAGUCAAUGGUAAAUCUGAGAGUUCCUCUGAGAAGAGCGAAUCCAAGCUGAACGGUGAAGAAGACUCUAGAGAGCAGCUGCCUGGACGAAACAGAGACCUCCUGCGCUUCCUGGAAGAGGUUUAGACCCACUGAGGAGACAUCUGCAAAGACCAACCUUUCCAACCUGUUGAGCUGUCUGCAGGCUGUGCACUGUGUUCCAGGUCCCCAGAUUGGACUGCCUAUGAUAGAUGGAUAUGAAUCCUAGGUCUCAGUGGUAGGAGAUGCACACUCUUCUGACAGAACCUCAAUUGAGGACUGCUGUGAACUUUUAGAGCGUGGAACUGGACAUCAUGCCGAUGAAGACCACCUGUGGGCAGACACAGGGUUUCUGUGAACAGCACUGGACAGAAGGGACCGGCGACCUGCCUCUGAUGUCACCCCCAGAGUGCCACAGAGCAGAUAAACCUGCCUCUGAGCUGACAUCCCUUUCUUCUUUGGGACAGCACCUGUUGGUGUAGUCCAGGCUGGCUUCAAACUCUCAAUCCUCCUGCCUAGGAUUACAGGGGGGAAUUACCCCAGCUCCCCAGUAAUCACACAGGGGGAGAGGGGAGGAGCGUGCCACUCUUAUGCGCAUACCUCAGUCAAAGAUGCUAAGGCUCAGCAAAGGGAAGUCACAUGACCAGCCUCCUACUGCUGCUGGUGUCUGGAUUGUGACAGACAUGAUGGGUCAGGACCUGGGGUUCUACAGCUUUCUUACAGCAGAAUAACAGGAUGGUAGUUACAGCACCCAA